GGUGCCGGCUUGCCGGAACUUGGUGACAGGUGGUGCAUGCCUGUCGUCAGCUCGUGUCGUGAGAUGUUGGGUUAAGUCCCGCAACGAGCGCAACCCCUAUUGUAUGUUGCUACCAUUAAGUUGAGCACUCAUGCGAUACUGCCUGCGAUGAGCAGGAGGAAGGUGGGGAUGACGUCAAGUCAUCAUGCCCCUUAUACGCUGGGCUACACACGUGCUACAAUGGGCAGUACAGAGAGUUGCCAACCCGCGAGGGUGAGCUAAUCUCUUAAAGCUGUUCUUAGUUCGGAUUGUACUCUGCAACUCGAGUACAUGAAGUUGGAAUCGCUAGUAAUCGCAAAUCAGCAUGUUGCGGUGAAUACGUUCUCGGGUCUUGUACACACCGCCCGUCACACCACGAGAGUUGGUUGCACCUGAAGUAGCAGGCCUAACCGUAAGGAGGGAUGUUCCUAAGGUGUGAUUAGCGAUUGGGGUGAAGUCGUAACAAGGUAACC
rnacentral:rRNA from 1 species